UUUUGACGUAAUCUCAUACGUUGUAACGUGCGGUUUCUUUCAGAAUUUUUUAAUGUGUUGUUUUUUAACAAAUUUCCAAUACAGUAAUCGUUGACGUACAUUCGCUGUCACGUUGAGGUACGCAAGUAUCUUGUAAUUCGAGUAUUUCGGUUGCUCGACCCGUUUGCCCUCAGCUCGAACCGUGCAAAAACGUGACUGGUCCGUCCGCUAACAGCGCCGUCGAUACACGGGCCGUCUUCUGUACACCGUCGCUCCGCAGACUUCAGACGCCGUCACAACUCCGUUACCGUCUGCAGUUACAGCUCAGCAUCGUUUAACGACAGCUUCAUCGGACCACAGGGACGCCAGAAAGUUCCCGCACCCCUUGACACAUGACAUUACGUAUAUAUGUAUAUUGUUUUCUUUUCAUAUUAAAUAUACCUAUUCUUUUUUACUAAAAUAAUCCAUGUUUAUAGAUAGAAA